rnacentral:rRNA from 1 species
GGUUAAGCGACUAAGCGUACACGGUGGAUGCCCUGGCAGUCAGAGGCGAUGAAGGACGUGCUAAUCUGCGAUAAGCGUCGGUAAGGUGAUAUGAACCGUUAUAACCGGCGAUUUCCGAAUGGGGAAACCCAGUGUGUUUCGACACACUAUCAUUAACUGAAUCCAUAGGUUAAUGAGGCGAACCGGGGGAACUGAAACAUCUAAGUACCCCGAGGAAAAGAAAUCAACCGAGAUUCCCCCAGUAGCGGCGAGCGAACGGGGAGCAGCCCAGAGCCUGAAUCAGUGUGUGUGUUAGUGGAAGCGUCUGGAAAGGCGCGCGAUACAGGGUGACAGCCCCGUACACAAAAAUGCACAUGCUGUGAGCUCGAUGAGUAGGGCGGGACACGUGGUAUCCUGUCUGAAUAUGGGGGGACCAUCCUCCAAGGCUAAAUACUCCUGACUGACCGAUAGUGAACCAGUACCGUGAGGGAAAGGCGAAAAGAACCCCGGCGAGGGGAGUGAAAAAGAACCUGAAACCGUGUACGUACAAGCAGUGGGAGCACGCUUAGGCGUGUGACUGCGUACCUUUUGUAUAAUGGGUCAGCGACUUAUAUUCUGUAGCAAGGUUAACCGAAUAGGGGAGCCGAAGGGAAACCGAGUCUUAACUGGGCGUUAAGUUGCAGGGUAUAGACCCGAAACCCGGUGAUCUAGCCAUGGGCAGGUUGAAGGUUGGGUAACACUAACUGGAGGACCGAACCGACUAAUGUUGAAAAAUUAGCGGAUGACUUGUGGCUGGGGGUGAAAGGCCAAUCAAACCGGGAGAUAGCUGGUUCUCCCCGAAAGCUAUUUAGGUAGCGCCUCGUGAAUUCAUCUCCGGGGGUAGAGCACUGUUUCGGCAAGGGGGUCAUCCCGACUUACCAACCCGAUGCAAACUGCGAAUACCGGAGAAUGUUAUCACGGGAGACACACGGCGGGUGCUAACGUCCGUCGUGAAGAGGGAAACAACCCAGACCGCCAGCUAAGGUCCCAAAGUCAUGGUUAAGUGGGAAACGAUGUGGGAAGGCCCAGACAGCCAGGAUGUUGGCUUAGAAGCAGCCAUCAUUUAAAGAAAGCGUAAUAGCUCACUGGUCGAGUCGGCCUGCGCGGAAGAUGUAACGGGGCUAAACCAUGCACCGAAGCUGCGGCAGCGACGCUGAUGCGUUGUUGGGUAGGGGAGCGUUCUGUAAGCCUGCGAAGGUGUGCUGUGAGGCAUGCUGGAGGUAUCAGAAGUGCGAAUGCUGACAUAAGUAACGAUAAAGCGGGUGAAAAGCCCGCUCGCCGGAAGACCAAGGGUUCCUGUCCAACGUUAAUCGGGGCAGGGUGAGUCGACCCCUAAGGCGAGGCCGAAAGGCGUAGUCGAUGGGAAACAGGUUAAUAUUCCUGUACUUGGUGUUACUGCGAAGGGGGGACGGAGAAGGCUAUGUUGGCCGGGCG